rnacentral:hammerhead_ribozyme from 1 species
AUCCUGAUGAUCAGUCCCAAAUAGGACGAAGUGUACAUCCUAGAU